UGUGAUAGGUCCGGAGUCAUUGGGUUAUCAAUCUGUGAACUCUCCCAUUGACAAUCACUUGACCUUCAC
rnacentral:sRNA from 1 species